rnacentral:tRNA from 1 species
GGAGAGGUGGCAGAGUGGUCGAAUGUACCUGACUCGAAAUCAGGCGUACGGGUUCCCGUACCGAGGGUUCGAAUCCCUCCCUCUCCG